GGCACAAUAUUUGGCAAAAAGCGGGAUUCUUCAUUUUGGAACCCGCGUCUCCAAAAUUUCACUUACAACUGUCAUGAAAAAUCCCCAAAUUCAAAACCCUAUCUUCCUCAUCUCUACUUCAACUUCCCCGUGUUCCUUCACACCCUCGGCCCCCUGUUUCAUCUUUCGACUCUUCUUCUUCACCGGCGCCAUCAACUCCCGUUGGUUAUCAAGCGGCCAUCGUCCUAAGAUUAAUCAAACUGGCUGCUAGAUACGAUGACCUUAAUUACUUGAAAGGGUUAUAAUCUCCUGGAGUACCUGCUGAUAUCAUAUUUCACAAGGUUUUUCAAGGCCGAGCAGGUUUGAACGCUUUAUCUAAUUUUUUCUUCUUUUUCAUACUCGAAAUAUUAAUCAUAUAUGUGAUGUUUUCAAAUGGGUAGUCAUCCUUGUUUUUUUGCCAGAAUUAUUGAAAUUCACAUAAUUAUAUUGCUUGGUUGUUCUAUUGCCUAUUGGCCUUUUGAUCUUGGUUUACUAUUACGUCAACCAAAGAAGUUGUAACAUUGGGUUGCUUGAAAUUAAAUGUGGUUUCUGGUCAUAUUAUGAAGGAGCUGAAGAACCUCGAGAAUAAAUUCGAGAAAGGUAUUAGCUGAAUUCUGUCCAAAAAGGUAAGGAUUUACGAAAGGGAUGUUAUAAAAUUUGGUUUGUUGGCUCUCCUACGUACUGAAUGCCAUCUAGCAAGAGUGCGGGAUGGAAAUAACCGAAUCCCCUACACAAAAACAACCUGCUAGUUGUGCACAUCAGUUUUAGUUGCUUCGGUCUACUAUUUAAGGUACACAUUCUGAUUUUGUAUUAGUCUUUCUAUUUAAUUUCAAUGACUGUUUUAUGACUUACUUUAUGAAGGCUAGAAUCACCUCCAAGGUCUUAUAUUCUCUGUAAGGCUUAGUUGCUUACGAUGUCUUAACAUAUUUCAGAUAGCUUGGUGGUGAGAAUGGUAUUUCGUCCUUUUGAAGAAAGCUCAUAUACAAUAUUUGCGAGAAGAUUCUAAAGAUAGAAGGAAGGAUCUAGGGCGCCGCCUCAUCGAAGGCUUAAAGCUUGUAUUGCUGAUUGGUUUUAUUUUUGUGUCUUUUGGACCAAGUUAUUCAUAUUCUCUAUUGAGAUUGUUGUAUGGACAAAAGUGGAGUGAUGGAGAAGCUUCAACUGCUCUCAGAUACUACUGCUUGUACAUUACAUUUCUGACACUGAAUGGUAAAGUGAAGUAUGGAUGCUAAAGGAAAAUAGCCAAAUGAUAUGGAGAAGAAAA